UUAGAGUUUGAUCCUGGCUCAGGAUGAACGCUAGCGACAGGCCUAACACAUGCAAGUCGAGGGGCAGCGCGUUGGUAGCAAUACCGAUGGCGGCGACCGGCGCACGGGUGCGUAACAGGUGUGCAAUCUGUCCAUAACCGGGGAAUAGCCCACCGAAAGGUGAAUUAAAGCUCCAUGUGAGUAAGAGAGGCAUCUCUUUUACUUAAAACGCGAGGGUUAUGGGUGAGCACGCUUCUGAUUAGAUAGUUGGUGAGGUAACGGCUCACCAAGUCGACGAUCAGUAGGGGUUCUGAGAGGAAGGUCCCCCACAUUGGAACUGAGACACGGUCCAAACUCCUACGGGAGGCAGCAGUGAGGAAUAUUGGUCAAUGGACGGAAGUCUGAACCAGCCAUGCCGCGUGAAGGAAUAAGGCCCUAUGGGUCGUAAACUUCUUUUGUGGUGGAGCAAUAAGUCGUACGUGUACGGCGAUGAGAGUACAUCACGAAUAAGCAUCGGCUAACUCCGUGCCAGCAGCCGCGGUAAUACGGAGGAUGCAAGCGUUAUCCGGAUUUAUUGGGUUUAAAGGGUGCGUAGGCUGUUCGACAAGUCAGGGGUGAAAGCCCGGCGCUUAACGCCGGAACUGCCUUUGAUACUGCCGAGCUGGAAUACGGAUGCCGUGGGAGGAAUGAGUAGUGUAGCGGUGAAAUGCAUAGAUAUUACUCAGAACACCGAUUGCGAAGGCAUCUCACGAAUCCGUCAUUGACGCUGAGGCACGAAAGCGUGGGGAUCAAACAGGAUUAGAUACCCUGGUAGUCCACGCAGUAAACGAUGAUAACUAACCGUCGGCGAUAGACAGUCGGUGGCCAAGCGAAAGCGAUAAGUUAUCCACCUGGGGAGUACGUUCGCAAGAAUGAAACUCAAAGGAAUUGACGGGGGCCCGCACAAGCGGAGGAACAUGUGGUUUAAUUCGAUGAUACGCGAGGAACCUUACCCGGGCUCGAACGGCUAGUGAACGACACAGAGAUGUGAAGGUCCUUCGGGACACUAGUCGAGGUGCUGCAUGGUUGUCGUCAGCUCGUGUCGUGAGAUGUUGGCUUAAGUGCCAUAACGAGCGCAACCCUUGUUGAUAGUUACCAUCAAGUAAAGUUGGGGACUCUAUCAAGACUGCCACCGCAAGGUGUGAGGAAGGCGGGGAUGACGUCAAAUCAGCACGGCCCUUACGUCCGGGGCGACACACGUGUUACAAUGGUAGCUACAGAGGGAAGCCACCUGGUGACAGGGAGCAGAUCUCGAAAAGCUAUCUCAGUUCGGAUUGGAGUCUGCAACUCGACUCCAUGAAGCUGGAUUCGCUAGUAAUCGCGCAUCAGCCAUGGCGCGGUGAAUACGUUCCCGGGCCUUGUACACACCGCCCGUCA
rnacentral:rRNA from 1 species